ACCAAGAAGAAGAAAUCGUCACUGAUUGGAUCAUCUAUGUUGAUGCUGGGGUCUGAAGAUGCUCCAACAAGAACACUGCAGCAGCAGAGGAAAAACAAACAAACAAACAAAUACAGAGCGAGUGUGAGCGGUCCUGCUUCGUACUCCUGUCCUCCCAUGACCGACGGAACUCUCUCUUCAUCCUCCACGAGCACGGCCAGCUCACUAUCUCUGUCGCCCAGCAUGCUACGAUCAUUGAUGUUGGCUGAUCCUGGAGCACCGCAGGAAAGUGCAUCAAGGACAUUUUAAAAGUCAUUACAUUUUUUUUUUUACUUUUUGUUCAUCUGGAAUUUGUUAGGAGGGUGUUUUUUUUUAAAGUUACACACUCUUCUGACGAAAAAAGUGACUUUUGAUAAUGUUUAACAAACCCAGUAAAGACAAAAUCAUGUUA